CUUCCGUCCUCCCCGCACAGGAGGGCGGACCGAGGAACCGGCGCUCUCUGCCCUGACUGCUCCGGCUCCUCACCUUCGGCCGAACGGGACCGCACACCCACGGCCGAUGCUGCUCCGGGCUGCGGUGCCGGGAGGGUUGAGGGUCCCUCCCAGGCGC
rnacentral:ncRNA from 1 species